CCCUGGUUGGCUCAGUCGGUAGAGCAUGGGACCCUUGAUCUCAGGGUGGUGAGUUCAAGCCCCACAUUGGGUG
rnacentral:tRNA from 1 species